rnacentral:rRNA from 1 species
CCUACGGGCGGCUGCAGUGGGGAAUAUUGGACAAUGGGCGAAAGCCUGAUCCAGCCAUGCCGCGUGUGUGAAGAAGGCCUUCGGGUUGUAAAGCACUUUCAGUGGGGAAGAAAGCCUUGGGGCUAAUACCCUCGAGGAAGGACAUCACCCACAGAAGAAGCACCGGCUAACUCCGUGCCAGCAGCCGCGGUAAUACGGAGGGUGCGAGCGUUAAUCGGAAUUACUGGGCGUAAAGCGCGCGUAGGCGGUCUGAUAAGCCGGUUGUGAAAGCCCCGGGCUCAACCUGGGAACGGCAUCCGGAACUGUCAGGCUAGAGUGCAGGAGAGGAAGGUAGAAUUCCCGGUGUAGCGGUGAAAUGCGUAGAGAUCGGGAGGAAUACCAGUGGCGAAGGCGGUCUUCUGGACUGACACUGACGCUGAGGUGCGAAAGCGUGGGUAGCAAACAGGAUUAGAUACCCGUGUAGUC